UACGAAGGGGGCUAGCGUUGCUCGGAAUCACUGGGCGUAAAGGGUGCGUAGGCGGGUCUUUAAGUCAGGGGUGAAAUCCUGGAGCUCAACUCCAGAACUGCCUUUGAUACUGAGGAUCUUGAGUUCGGGAGAGGUGAGUGGAACUGCGAGUGUAGAGGUGAAAUUCGUAGAUAUUCGCAAGAACACCAGUGGCGAAGGCGGCUCACUGGCCCGAUACUGACGCUGAGGCACAAAGCGUGGGGAGCAAACAGG
rnacentral:rRNA from 1 species